GGAUUUUUUGGGAAUUCCAGGAGGAUUUUUUGGGGAAUGCCUGGAGGAUUUUUUGGGAAUUCCCGGAGGAAUUUUUGGGAAUUCCCAGAGGAAUUUUUGGGAAUGGUUUCCAGGUGCAGCAGGACCGAGCCUUCGACCCCGAGCGUCCGUUCCUGUCCCUGCGGCGAGUCCUGGCCGAGCUGGGGCCACCCCUGGCCACGAGCGUCCAACUGAUCUCCUUCCACUCCCUGCGGAACGGAUUCCGGGCGGGAUUCCUGGAGCUGGUGAACGUGGAGCCGCGGCUCCGGCGGCCGUUCCAGCUGGCUCAAUCCAUCCCCCGGCCCUGCGUUCCCGGCCGGAUCCUGCUGGAUCUGCUCCUGGAGCCGCCGGAUCAGCGGGAUCCCAUCUGCAGGGAGCUGGAAAAGGUGCUGGGAGAGAGGCUUGGGCUUGUGAUUCCGCGGGUCCCGGAAAUCCCAUAAAUCCCAUAAAUCCUGUAAAUCCCGGAAAUCCUGGAAAUCCCAAAAAUCCUCAAAAUCCCAAAAAUCCCAUAAAUCCCAUAAAUCCCGUAAAUCCCAUCCCAUCAAUCCCAUAAAUCCCAUCCCACCCCCUAAAUCCCAUAAAUCCCAUAAAAUCCCCUAAAUCCCAUAAAUCCCCUAAAUCGCAUAAAUACUGUAAAUCCUGUAAAUCCUGGAAAUCCCAAAAAUCCCAUAAAUCCUCAAAAUCCCAUAAAUCCCAUAAAUCCCCUAAAUCCCGUAAAUCCCAUCCCAUAAAUCCCAUAAAUCCCAUCCCAUUCCCUAAAUCUCAUAAAUCCCAUAUCCCCUAAAUCUCAUAAAUCCCCUAAAUCCCAUAAAUCCUGGAAAUCCCAAAAAUCCCAUAAAUCCCAUAAAUCGUGUAAAUCCCAUAAAUCCCAUAAAUCCCCAAAAUCCCGUCCCAUAAAUCCCAAAAAUCCCAUAAAUCCCGGAAAUCCCCAAAAUCCUGGAAAUCAAAAAAAUCCUGGAAAUCCCGUAAAUCAAAUAAAUUCCAAAAAUCCCAUAAAUCCCCUAAAUCC
rnacentral:lncRNA from 1 species